rnacentral:lncRNA from 1 species
GUGGUGCCACCCCUGCACCAGCACUCACGGCAUUCGGGGGGCUCGGGACCUCCCCGCCCCGUGCGAAGAGAGGUCACACACCAGACGCGUGAUUUCUAGGGAAAUUCUGAUUUAUGAGCAGCAAAACCUGCUAACAGCAUCACUCUCCGACGAGGGAGCCGUGUUUUCUCUGGCAUCUGUAGGAGCAGGAGCAUCUUUGAGCUGAAAUCUUCCCGAGCCCUCCCGGUGUGAAGCUGGGCGGCGAUAACUUAUGCAAACACACGCUGUUACCCGGCAGCUGAAUUCAGCAGAAAUCACGAACUCUGGCUUUGCAAGAAAAACAAAGCCGGUGAAAUGAGGCCGGGCAAAUGGAACAAAAGCCCCUCCCUGACUUGGGUGAGAGCAGGAAGAGAGGCAGCGCUGCGCAGGCUGCGCGGAGAGCAGGAAGGGAGGCAGCGCUGCGCAGGCUGCGCGGAGCGCACGGACCCUGCGGGGAUGGGGCUCGCCAGGGGCAGGGACACGCGGCAGCGCUGUGCCAGGAGCUCCCGCAUCCCUUCAGCCCUUCCUCACAUCCCUUCAGCCCUUCCCCAGAACCCUUCAGCCCUUUCCUGCAUCCCUUCAGCCCUUCCCCAGAACCCUUCAGCCCUUCAGCCCUCCCUCACAUCCCUUCAGCCCUUCCCCGCAUUCCUUCAGCCCUUUCUCACAUCCCUUCAUCCCUUCAGCCCUUCCUCACAUCCCUUCAGCCCUUCCCCAGAACCCUUCAGCCCUUCCCCACAUCCCUUCAGCCCUUCCCCAGAACCCUUCAGCCCUUCCCCACAUCCCUUCAGCCCUUCCCCAGAACCCUUCAGCCCUUCCCCACAUCCCUUCAGCCCUUCCCCAGAACCCUUCAGCCCUUCCCCACAUCCCUUCAGCCCUUCCCCAGAACCCUUCAGCCCUUCCCCACAUCCCUUCAGCCCUUCCCCAGAACCCUUCAGCCCUUCCCCACAUCCCUUCAGCCCUUCCCCAGAACCCUUCAGCCCUUCCCCACAUCCCUUCAGCUCUUCCUCACAUCCCUUCAGCCCUUCCUCACAUCCCUUCAGCCCUCCCUCACAUCCCUUCAGCCCUUCCCCGCAUUCCUUCAGCCCUUUCUCACAUCCCUUCAUCCCUUCAGCCCUUCCCCACAUCCCUUCAGCUCUUCCUCACAUCCCUUCAGCCCUUCCUCACAUCCCUUCAGCCUUUCCUCACAUCCCUUCAGCCCUCCUCACAUCCCUUCAGCCCUUCCCCACAUCCCUUCAGCCCUUCCCCAGAACCCUUCAGCCCUUCAGCCCUCCCUCACAUCCCUUCAGCCCUCGCCACAUGCCUUCAGCCCUUCCCCAGAACCCUUCAGCCCUUCCCCAGAACCCUUCAGCCCUUUCCCGCAUCCCUUCAGCCCUCCCUCACAUCCCUUCCCCA